GAUGAACGCUGGCGGCGUGCUUAACACAUGCAAGUCGAACGGAAAGGCCCAAGCUUGCUUGGGUACUCGAGUGGCGAACGGGUGAGUAACACGUGGGUGAUCUGCCCUGCACUUCGGGAUAAGCCUGGGAAACUGGGUCUAAUACCGGAUAGGACCACUUCUUGGAUGUUGUGGUGGAAAGUUUUUUCGGUGUGGGAUGAGCUCGCGGCCUAUCAGCUUGUUGGUGGGGUAAUGGCCUACCAAGGCGUCGACGGGUAGCCGGCCUGAGAGGGUGUACGGCCACAUUGGGACUGAGAUACGGCCCAGACUCCUACGGGAGGCAGCAGUGGGGAAUAUUGCACAAUGGGCGCAAGCCUGAUGCAGCGACGCCGCGUGGGGGAUGACGGCCUUCGGGUUGUAAACUCCUUUCGCUAGGGACGAAGCAUUUUGUGACGGUACCUGGAGAAGAAGCACCGGCUAACUACGUG
rnacentral:rRNA from 1 species